GACGUAGGGCGCGAGCGUUGUCCGGAUUUAUUGGGCGUAAAGAGCUCGUAGGCGGCUCGUUGCGUCGGCUGUGAAAACCCGCAGCUCAACUGUGGGCUUGCAGCUGAUACGGGCGGGCUGGGAUUCGGUAGGGGAGACUGGAAUUCCUGGUGUAGCGGUGAAAUGCGCAGAUAUCAGGAGGAACACCGGUGGCGAAGGCGGGUCUCUGGGCCGAAACUGACGCUGAGGAGCGAAAGCGUGGGGAGCAAACAGG
rnacentral:rRNA from 1 species